CUUUAACUAUGAAAAUCUGAAUCCUUGAUAGAGUUCAGAUUGGAAGAAUUUGGGACCCAUUCCAGGACUUGGAUCCAAUUAUGGUGAAGCCAAGCAGUAGUGGAUGUGCAAUAUGUGGCUUUGCCAGAUCUUGCUAGAAGAUUGAAUCUCCCUGUGGACAAAGAUGUGCCAUAGAAGGCAGGAAAUGUUCCAAGAUUUCCUGGCAGCAUUGUACAUUGAUAGACCUAUCAUACAGAACCAAAUCACCUACUCAAGAAGAGUCAAAACACCUUCAUACUUGCACAGUACCUGUAAAUUUCAUUUUUUGCUUCACACAGCUUUGGAGGGGUCCUUUAUUUGGUUUGCUGAUGACCUUCUGUCUAAUAUUUUCAUAUAGGACUGGAAAGAGAGACUCAUCAGACUAUAUCUCCUUCCCCAGUCUGCCUCCUUCCAGGAUAAGUAGUUUCUGACCCAUGUCAACCUCUUCUUUCUGAGCUAGUAUCAAUAUAGAUUUUCACUUGAGCCAUAUUCCAACCUUCUAUUAGUGGUUUGUCGAGAUACAGGUCAGCCUAUGUGUUUGGUCCAUAGUUCUGCAGCUUCCAUGAAAGCACCAGGUCAAUGUUUAAUGACAAGACACAAAACUUUAUCUUCUCUGCAGUAAUCUUUAGUGGCCUACUACUGCUGCGUCCAGGCUUGAUGGAACCAGGCUCCUCAUAGUGUUUUAGAAAGGUUCAACUAUAGAUUUGUUUGAGCCCAAUUCUGGAGAAAUCUAUUACAUAGCUGUUCUAUUUUGUCAGCUAUGGAAGAUCUUUUCACAUAUUUACAUUUCUAAUCUCUUUUUU
rnacentral:lncRNA from 1 species